CCUACGGGGGGCAGCAGUGGGGAAUAUUGGACAAUGGGCGGAAGCCUGAUCCAGCAAUACCGCGUGUGUGAAGAAGGCCUGAGGGUUGUAAAGCACUUUCACUGGGGAGGAAAAAGGUAAUCUUAAUACGGUUGCCCUUGACAUUACCUAGAGAAGAAGCACCGGCUAACUCCGUGCCAGCAGCCGCGGUAAUACGGAGGGUGCGAGCGUUAAUCGGCGUUACUGGGCGUAAAGCGUGCGUAGACGGUAAAGCCCUGGGCUCAACCUGGGAACGGCAUUUGAAACUGGCUUGCUAGAGUUAGGUAGAGGGGAGUGGAAUUUCAGGUGUAGCGGUGAAAUGCGUAGAUAUCUGAAGGAACACCAGUGGCGAAGGCGGCUCCCUGGACCCAAACUGACGCUGAGGUACGAAAGCGUGGGUAGCAAACAGGAUUAGAUACCCCUGUAGUC
rnacentral:rRNA from 1 species